GGGGAGCGCCCAGGGGUAAUAACACGUGGGAAUCUACCCAUCCCUGCUGGAACAACUCCGCGGAAACUGGAGCUUAUACCGCAUACGCCCUUCGGGGGAAAGAUUNAUCGCGGGAUGGAUAGAGCCCGCGUUGGAUUAGCUAUGUUGCUGGGGUAAAGGCCUACCAAGGCGACAACUCCAUAGCUGGUCUGAGAGGAUGAUCAGCCACAUUGGGACUGAGACACGGCCCAGACUCCUACGGGAGGCAGCAGUGGGGAAUAUUGGACAAUGGGCGCAAAGCCUGAUCCAGCCAUGCCGCGUGAGUGAUGAAGGCCUUAGGGUUGUACAAUGCUCUUUCACCGAAUAAAAGAUCAUGACGGUGUCGGAGAAGAAGCCCCGGCUAAACUUCGUGCCAGCAGCCGCGGUAAUACGAAGGGGGCUACGCGUUGUUCGGAAUUACUGGGCGUAAAGCGCACGUAGGCGGAUAUUUANCGAUCAGGGGUGANNAUCCCGCAGCUCAACUGCGGAACUGCCUUUGAUACUGGGUACUCUUGAGUAUGGAAGAGGUUAGCUGGAAUUGCGACGCUGUAGAGGUGAAAUUCGUAGAUUUCGCAGGAACACCAGUGGCGAAGGCGGCUACUGGUCCAUAACUGACGCUAGGUGCGAAAGCGUGGGGAGCAAACAGGAUUAGAUACCUGGUAGUCCACGCCGUAACGAUGAAAUGUUAGCCGUCGGCAGUUACUUGUCGGUGGCGCAGCUUACGCAUUAACAAUUCCGCCUGGGAGUACUGUCGCAAGAAUUAAAACUCAAAAGGAAUGACGGGCCGAACAGCGGUGCAGCAUGUGGUUAUCNAAGCAGACGCAGAACUUAC
rnacentral:rRNA from 1 species